rnacentral:lncRNA from 1 species
CAAAUCUUAGAACUCAAUAGAGACAAAAUAUUCAAUUUUUUUUAAGUGGGAAGGGAAGAUGAUUUGAACAGAUACUUCAUCAAAGAAGAUAUACAAAUGGCAAAUUAAACACAUAAAAAGAUGCUCAACAUCACUAGUCAUCAGGGAAAUGCAAAUGAAAGCCCUGAUGAGAUACUGUUACACACCUAUUAGCAUGGCUAAAAUUAGAAAGACUGGCAAUACUAAGAGCAGACAAGGAGGCAGAGCAACUGGAAAUCUCAUGCAUGCAAAAUGGAACAAUCACAUCGGAAAACAGUUUGGUAGUUUCUGACAGAAUUACACUAAUGUUUAUCAUUUGGCCCAGCAACCCCUUCCCAGGCACUGAAAUAAAAACAUAGGUCCACGCAAAGACCUGUACAUGGAUGAUCAUUGCAGCUUUAUUUGUAAUGGCCAAAAACUGGAAGGAACUCACACGCCGAUCAGCAAGUAAAUUGAUGGAGUCUCAUUCUGUCGCCCAGGCUGGAGUGUGGUGGUGCCAUUUCAGCUCACUGCAACCUCCACCUUUCAGGUUCAAGCGAUUCUCCUGCCUCAGCCUCCCGAGUAGUGCCCGCCACCACGCCUGGCUAAUUUUUGUAUUUUUAGUAGACGGGGUUUUGCCAUGUUGGCCAGGCUGGUCUCAAACCCCUGACCUCAAGUGAUCCACCCACCUCAGGUCCCAAAAUGCUGGGAUUACAGGCGCCCAGCCCCCAUCCAGGUGCUCUAAACAGCUGAAUAAAAUCCAGGAACACCCUAGACUGAGGACUUCAGGAUGCUGAUGCGCUAAUUAGCUAUCAGACCAGGUGCACAAAAUCGGAGCUCACCACCUUGUUUAUUUUGCCAACUGCUAGGGGUAGAAUAAAUGAAACAAAGACCUACUGGCCAGAUGCGUUGGCUCACCUGUAAUCCCAGCACUUUGGGAAGCCAAGGUGGGAGGAUCACUUGAGGCCAGGAGUUCAAGAUCAGCCUGGGCAAAAUAAUGAGACCACUCCCCCUCCCCCCAACCCCGUCUCUAAAGGAAAAACUUAGCUGGGCAUGGUGACAUGCAACUGUAGUCCCAGCUAAUCUGGAAGCUGAAGCAGGAGGAUCCCUUGAGCUCAGGACUUCGAAGUUACAGUAGCUGUGAUCUUAUCUCUGCCCUCCAGGCUGGGCAAUAGAGUAAGACUCUGUUUCAAAAGAAAAAGAGCUACUGACUCAGAAAGGCUGAUAAUCACAAUGAGCUUUCAAAGGCUUUUCCAGAGGACUGUUUUUUCACUUUUUAUCUUCUAUGCUACCAUAUAUCAUUGCAUCCAGGACACCAUAGAUCGUAUAAGGCAGGAAAAUAAGUUGCAAAGUAAACUAUGCCACCAUGCUUUUUCAUUUCUUAGGAGUUGUACUGUAUAUUUAUUGAAGCUUAUUCGGACAGAUGUUCAUCCUAUAUCACCUUUGGUCACAUUAAAAUAGAGAUGCAAAGAAAAUGAGUUGG